rnacentral:rRNA from 1 species
UUCCGGUUGAUCCUGCCGGACCUGACUGCUAUCGGAUUGAUACUAAGCCAUGCGAGUCAUUGUAGCAAUACAAGGCAUACGGCUCAGUAACGCGUAGUCAACCUAACCUAUGGACGGGAAUAACCUCGGGAAACUGAGAAUAAUGCCCGAUAGAACAUUAUGCCUGGAAUGGUUUAUGUUCCAAAUGAUUUAUCGCCGUAGGAUGGGACUGCGGCCUAUCAGUUUGUUGGUGAGGUAAUGGCCCACCAAGACUAUUACAGGUACGGGCUCUGAGAGGAGUAGCCCGGAGAUGGGUACUGAGACACGGACCCAGGCCCUAUGGGGCGCAGCAGGCGAGAAAACUUUGCAAUGUGCGAAAGCACGACAAGGUUAAUCCGAGUGGUUUCUGCUAAAGAAACCUUUUGUCAGUCCUAGAAACACUGAUGAAUAAGGGGUGGGCAAGUUCUGGUGUCAGCCGCCACGGUAAAACCAGCACCUCAAGUGGUCAGGAUGAUUAUUGGGCCUAAAGCAUCCGUAGCCCGGCUCUGUAAGUUUUCGGUUAAAUCUGUACGCUCAACUUAUGGGCUGCCGAAAA